rnacentral:rRNA from 1 species
UACGAAGGGUGCAAGCGUUACUCGGAAUUACUGGGCGUAAAGCGUGCGUAGGUGGUUCGUUAAGUCUGAUGUGAAACCUCCAGGCUCAACCUGGAGACGCCACCUGAUACUGCUGUGGCUAGAGUCCGGUAGGGGAGCGUGGAAUUCCUGGUGUAGCGGUGAAAUGCGCAGAUAUCAGGAGGAACACCAGCGGCGAAGGCGGCGCUCUGGGCCGGAACUGACGCUGAGGAGCGAAAGCGUGGGUAGCAAACAGG